UACGUAGGAUGCAAGCGUUGUUCGGAUUUACUGGGCGUAAAGGGCGCGUAGGCGCUUAACAAGUCACUUGUGAAAUCUCCGGGCUUAACUGGAACGGCCAAGUGAAACUGUCAAGCUAGAGUGCAGAAGGGCAAUCGGAAUUCUUGGUGUAGCGGUCGAAAUGCGUAGAGUAUCAAGAGGAACACCUGAGGUGAAGACGGGUUGCUGGGCGUGACACUGACGCU
rnacentral:rRNA from 1 species